GAUGAACGCUAGCGGCAGGCCUAAUACAUGCAAGUCGAGGGGCAGCACGGGUAGCAAUAUCUGGUGGCGACCGGCGCACGGGUGCGUAACACGUAUACAAUCUGCCUUUUACAGGGGAAUAGCCCGGAGAAAUUCGGAUUAAUGCCCCAUAAUAGAUUGACUGGCCUCAGUUGAUUUUGAAAGCUCCGGCGGUAAAAGAUGAGUAUGCGCAUGAUUAGCUAGUUGGUAGUGUAACGGACUACCAAGGCGACGAUCAUUAGGGGAUCUGAGAGGACUCCCCCCCACACUGGUACUGAGACACGGACCAGACUCAUACGGGAGGCAGCAGUAAGGAAUAUUGGUCAAUGGAGGCAACUCUGAACCAGCCAUGCCGCGUGCAGGAUGAAUGCCCUAUGGGUAGUAAACUGCUUUUAUACGGGAGAAAACCCGGGUACGUGUACCCGGUUGAUAGUACUGUAAGAAUAAGGAUCGGCUAACUUCGUGCCAGCCGCCGCCGUAAGAC
rnacentral:rRNA from 1 species